GACGAACGCUGGCGGCGUGCUUAACACAUGCAAGUCGAACGAUGAAGAAGAGAAACGCGAACUUCGGUUCAAAUUUCACUUCGGAUUAGUGGCAGACGGGUGAGUAACGCGUGAGCAACCUACCUCUUACAAAGGGAUAGCCUCGGGAAACCGUGAUUAAUACCAUAUGACACAUUCAUAAGGCAUCUUAAGAAUGUUAAAGCUACGGCGGUAAGAGAUGGGCUCGCGUCCCAUUAGCUAGUUGGUGAGGUAACGGCCCACCAAGGCGACGAUGGGUAACCGGCCUGAGAGGGUGAACGGUCACAUUGGAACUGAGACACGGUUCAAACUCCUACGGGAGGCAGCAGUGGGGAAUAUUGCACAAUGGAGGGAACUCUGAUGCAGCGACGCCGCGUGAGCGAUGAAGGAAUUCGUUUCGUAAAGCUCUGUUCUAUGGGAAGAAAAGGACUGUACCAUAGGAGAAAGCCCCGGCUAAAUACGUG
rnacentral:rRNA from 1 species